rnacentral:lncRNA from 1 species
GAGACCCUGUCCGUGGACAGAACGCUGAACAGUGUCUGACCAUCGCGAUUGGGAUAGAAGCUUAAAGUAAAAGCAGACUUAAGUGGCAGAGGAAAAUACUGAGAGAACUGAAAGAAGACAGUAGGGUCCGGAUGUGGACACCCUAACCAAGAAAAGGUUAACGGUAUAAAAGGCCAGUAGGGUGAAGGUUGGGGUUUUUUGUUGUUGUUGUUGUUAUGUUUUGUUUUUCUGUUCUUAUCACCAGGAAGUGCACGAUAUAUUUUAAAUCUCAUUAUCUACUAAGGACUUCUGAAUCGUAUCUUUUCUGAUUGAUGCGCCUUUCCUUGAAGAUACUUCCUGCCCUUCUGUCUAGAACUUUGUCGGACACAGCUGGAUGUGUUUUCUACAGCUCAUAAGGUUCAUAUAUAUCAACCGGAGUUCUCCUGUGUCUCCAAAAUUACCAGAACUAUAGGUUAACAAUAAUUAUCCUCUACAAAGACUUCAACACUUGUUUACCCUAUAAAAAUGUCCAUAUUUAUACUUCCCUUCAAGAAUGAGUGUGUACUUUUGAACAGCAGUUAAUGAUUUUUUUAAUAUAUGUCUAAUUCAGGCAAUUUUAUAAUAUGUUAGGAGCUAGCAUCAUUUCAGAGUUCUUUGUAAGUUAAAGAAAAAUAUAUGUUACACAUGACCUACUUUUAUACCAAACAUUUUCACAUGCUUGCCUUAUAUUCAAAAGCAAUUGUGUGGGGGUGUUGUUGUUGUUGUUCUCUUAGUAAAUAUUCAAAAUAGUAAAAAAGGGAAUCUACAUAAUUGCACCCUGAGUUUCUGCAUCUGAAAUUCUUCCUUCACAUCACUGGACUGGAAUUAGCCCAUUAGAAACCAAAGAUAAUUCUGCCUUGGCCAAAAUUCCCAAGAAAUAUUUCCUCUGGUAUAGCACCG